rnacentral:rRNA from 1 species
ACAGAAGGCAGCUACACGGCGACGUGAGGCUAAUCCCUAAAUCCUCUCUCAGUUCGGAUUGGAGUCUGCAACCCGACUCCAUGAAGCUGGAUUCGCUAGUAAUCGCGCAUCAGCCACGGCGCGGUGAAUACGUUCCCGGGCCUUGUACACACCGCCCGUCAAGCCAUGAAAGCCGGGGGUACCUGAAGUGCGUAACCGCGAGGAGCGCCCUAGGGUAAAACUGGUGAUUGGGGCUAAGUCGUAACAAGGUACC